rnacentral:rRNA from 1 species
UACGUAGGGUGCAAGCGUUGUCCGGAAUUAUUGGGCGUAAAGAGCUCGUAGGCGGUUUGUUGCGUCGGCUGUGAAAUCCCGAGGCUCAACCUCGGGUCUGCAGUCGAUACGAGCAAACUAGAGUGUUGCAGGGGAGACUGGAAUUCCUGGUGUAGCGGUGAAAUGCGCAGAUAUCAGGAGGAACACCGGUGGCGAAAGGCGGGUCUCUGGGCAACAACUGACGCUGAGGAGCGAAAGCGUGGGGAGCGAACAGG